CUCACUUCAUGCAGCAGCUCUCGUGUGAAUUGGUGCGGUAACCGGAGAUGUAUCUAGAACUUACCCUUACUUUCUUUUUCUCUGUCCUUGGAGCCGAGAGUCUAUAAGAAACAAUAUUUGCCUUCAUAAGGUACGGCUAAGAUCUGCGUAGACACUGCCCAAAUCCACUUGUGGGAUUACAUUGAAUUUUUUUUCUUUUUUGUAAUAUGUACACAUAAUUCAAGUCAAAAGCAACUAAUGUAGUUGAACCGUCAGAACUCGCUCUAGAUCCAUCUGUAAUGGUAUGGCAUGGAAACAGAGACGGAUGUGAUCUUUU
rnacentral:lncRNA from 1 species